GAUGAACGCUGGCGGCGUGCCUAACACAUGCAAGUCGAACGAAGUAUAUAUAGGAAGUCUUCGGAUGGAAUAUAAAUAACUUAGUGGCGGACGGGUGAGUAACGCGUAAGUAAUCAACCUGUGACACACGGAUAACUGAUAGAAAUGUCAGCUAAUACGAGAUGAACUGUUUAGAUUGGGAAAUGGAAACAGCAAAGCGAAAGCGGUCACAGACGAGCUUGCGUCUGAUUAGCUAGUUGGUGGGGUAAGAGCCUACCAAGGCGACGAUCAGUAGCCGGCCUGAGAGGGUGAACGGCCACAUUGGAACUGAGACACGGUCCAAACUCCUACGGGAGGCAGCAGUGGGGGAUAUUGCACAAUGGGGGGGAACCCCUGAUGCAGCAAACGCCCGCGUGAGUGAAAGAAAGGGCCCUAGGGUCGUAAAAGCUCUGUUCGUA
rnacentral:rRNA from 1 species